AGUGAACGCUGGCGGUAGGCCUAACACAUGCAAGUCGAACGGCAGCACAGUAAGAGCUUGCUCUUACGGGUGGCGAGUGGCGGACGGGUGAGGAAUACAUCGGAAUCUACUUUUUCGUGGGGGAUAACGUAGGGAAACUUACGCUAAUACCGCAUACGACCUACGGGUGAAAGCAGGGGAUCUUCGGACCUUGCGCGAUUGAAUGAGCCGAUGUCGGAUUAGCUAGUUGGCGGGGUAAAGGCCCACCAAGGCGACGAUCCGUGGCUGGUCUGAGAGGAGGGUCGGCCACACUGGAACGUAGACACGGUCCAGACUCCUACGGGAGGCAGCAGUGGGGAAUAUUAGACAAUGGGCGCAAGCCUGAUACAGCCAUACCGCGUGGGUGAAGAAGGCCUUCGGGUUGUAAAGCCCUUUUGUUGGGAAAGAAAAGCAGCAGGUUAAUACCCCGCUGUUCUGACGGUACCCAAAGAAUAAGCACCGGCUAACUUCGUG
rnacentral:rRNA from 1 species